CGGGGUGUAGCGUAGUCUGGUAGCGCGCCUGCUUUGGGAGCAGGAUGUCGGGAGUUCGAAUCUCUCCACCCCGACCA
rnacentral:tRNA from 18 species